ensembl:lncRNA
AAAUCUAGAUUAAAGACCCAUCUCUUUAACCUAGCUUACACAUAACACACUAAUACACUUCUAAUAUCCAAAUCCGUUAAAGGAUUUUUAGGCUGCAUUAAUUAGGUAAACCGGAACCGGGAACACUUCCCAUAACACCCGAUGUACUUGCUACAUCGUUAGAAGAAUGGCAUCUACGCUCAUAUUAGUCUGUUUCUCUCUUAUUCCGAGGUCACCGUAGCCACCAGAUCCAGUCUGUAUCCAAGUCAGAGGGUCACUGCAGUCACCCGGAUCCAGUACGUAUCCAGCCCAGAUGGUGGAUCAGCACCUAGAAAGGACCUCUACAGCCCUGAAAGACAGCGGAGACCAGGACUAGAGCCCCAGAGACAGAUCCCCUGUAAAGACCUUGUCUCAGACGACCACCGGGACAAGACCACAGGAAACAGAUGAUUCUUCUGCACAAUCUGACUUUGCUGCAGCCUGGAAUUGAACUGCUGGUUUCGUCUGGUCAGAGGAGAACUGGCCCCCCGACUGAGCCUGGUUUCUCCCAAGGUUUUUUCUCCAUUCUGUCACCGAUACUAUUUAAACUGAACUGAGCUGGAUGAUGACAUCACUGAAUUCAAUGAUGAGCUGCCUUUAACUGAAAAUUGGGUGUUUACUUUUGACAUUUUGCAGUAUUGACACUAUUUUCCUAUUUGAUACUGUAAAGCUGUUUUGGCACAAUCUGUAUUGUUAAAGGGAUAGUUCCCCCCAAAAUGAAAAUUCUGUCAUUAAUUACUCACCUUCAUGUCAUUUAAAUCCUGUAAGAUCUUCGGAACACAAAUAAAGAUAUUUUUGAUGCCUAGAACGAAGAAUUGACAGAACAGCCAUCAAGUGUUAGACAGUGUUCUAGGUACAAUGUUUACGUUCAGAUCAAAGCGUAAACAAUGGGUACUCUCCAAAAUGGUGCUUUAGGGUGACAAGGAGGAGAUGCAUUGUUGAAUAAAGUCAUUAUUUUUGUUUUAUUUGCACACAAAAAGUAUUCUUGUAGCUUCGUAAAAUUACGGUUGAACCACUGAUCUCACAUAGAUUUUUUUUAACUAUCUCUUUGCUACGUUUCUGAGCCUUGAUCGUGUUAAGAUCCUUGCUGUCUAUGGAGGGUCAGAGAGCUUUAGGAAUACAUCAAAAAUUAAUGGAAAGUGAGUAAUUAAUGACAGAAUUUAAAUUUUGGGGUAAACUAUCCCUUAAAAAGCGCUAUAUAAAUAAAGGCGACUUGACUUGAUUAGACUUUUGAUAUGACAAGACUAUUGAUAUCCUAAAGUCUUGAUGUCCUGUUGUUUGUUAGCUGCCAUUCACAAGUGUCUUUAAAGGCUUUACAUUACUGAAGAACUGGUGACAUUAAAUUACAGUUUUAUUUUAGUAUCACUGAUGCUAUUAGUUUCUAUUUAUAUUUUGAAUCUAUUAUUAUAUUUACUGUUUAAAAAAAAUAGUUUUCCCAGUUUUUUAAUUUGUGUCUAUAGUUUUAUUUCAAGUUGUAUUAUUUUAGUAUGUCAAAUCAAACUAAAUUAAAUUGAAAAAUAAUUCUGUGGAAACUAGCUGAAAUUGAAAAAUCAAAAUAAAACAUUACUGAAAAUUAUUCUACUAUCAAUAAGAUACUAGAGUUUCUAUUAGUCUUUGUUUUUAGAUUUUCUGUUUUAUUUUAAUUUACAUUAGAGUUUUAGUAAUUUUGUGUGC